AACUGCUUCUCUCUGUGUGUGCGGCAAUUGCUGCCGAGGCGGGGAUAGAGAAAGGACAGAUCACGUUGGGGCUUGCUUCCGGUCCUUUACUUAAGGAAAAGGCCUUCA
rnacentral:sRNA from 1 species